rnacentral:rRNA from 1 species
CUACGGGCUGCGCAGUGGGGAAUAUUGCACAAUGGGCGCAAGCCUGAUGCAGCCAUGCCGCGUGUAUGAAGAAGGCCUUCGGGUUGUAAAGUACUUUCAGCGGGGAGGAAGGGAGUAAAGUUAAUACCUUUGCUCAUUGACGUUACCCGCAGAAGAAGCACCGGCUAACUCCGUGCCAGCAGCCGCGGUAAUACGGAGGGUGCAAGCGUUAAGCGGAAUUACUGGGCGUAAAGCGCACGCAGGCGGUUUGUUAAGUCAGAUGUGAAAUCCCCGGGCUCAACCUGGGAACUGCAUCUGAUACUGGCAAGCUUGAGUCUCGUAGAGGGGGGUAGAAUUCCAGGUGUAGCGGUGAAAUGCGUAGAGAUCUGGAGGAAUACCGGUGGCGAAGGCGGCCCCCUGGACGAAGACUGACGCUCAGGUGCGAAAGCGUGGGGAGCAAACAGGAUUAGAUACCCGAGUAGUC